GGUUUACCCAGAUAGAAAUGGAAGUUUUAUAAAAAUCCUGGUUCUUCUUUCCUGUUUCUCUAGCAACCAAGGUGUUCUGGAUCAAAUUGAUGGAUGGAAGAUUGUUUUGACAAACAAUUGUUCAACUGAUGUAGUAAUACCACCCGUUGUUGUUCUUCAAACCGCUAAUAGCAUCUGCCACCGAAGUUGAGGGGACGAAGAUUAGAAAACCGCAAUCUCUUCUUUAUCUAGCGCUGGUAUUAAACAUGGUAUAUCACUUAUCUUGAGAAAGGUAGAUGAUAUGGAUGCUUUUGCUGUGAAGCAGGCAUGCAAAUUUUCAAAAGAGCAUGUUCUACGGAAGAGACCCAUUGUGAGUAUAUUUAUUAAGUUUUUAAGUUUCAACUAGGUUGUAUGCUCCCAUCGUUUUAUUAUUCUUAAUACUUGGUUUUAUAAUUUUGAGUGUCUAUGAGUGUUCUGUUUACGAAAUAUCAGUAUGAAAAGCUGCAUUGCAAGAACUUGCCCUUUAGUGUGUGUUAUUGUUGCAAUUACCAUCAUGUAACAUGUAAACUUGAUUUUCAAGAAGAAAAAAUUACCAAAUUUUAAACUUACAAGAUAAUAUUCAGUAGUAGUAGAUAAGCACUGAAACUUAUCCUGAAUAAAAUUUCCAAAUUUUUUGAUCA